GGGCGAGCCGAUCUGCCGAUGCGGCUGAGCAUUAGAAACCGGUGUGGCUUUCUCCUCGUCUGGGAUCCGGGCUCCCGGCUCCUGAUAAGUGAUGGCAGAGAGGGUGGCGUGAAGCCGUGGCCUGUUCCUGCACGAAGCCCCUCGCCCACAGGCAUGGCGUACCGUUUUUUAAGGGAAGAGCUUUAGAUCGUGCAGACUCAAGGGAGGGACUUCUCCAGGAGACAGACUCCCGUAGGUAUGCUCUGUGCACCUGGUGUGCUCUACUGACCCAAAACAAAGUUGCCAGAAUCGCAGGAAGCGCCGUGUACGGACAAGGGAAGCGAGAUGAGCGGGAUAAAGUUGAGAGGAAACCAGGCUCUGGGCCACUGCUGCCAUCCCCCGCAGCCUUUGAGGACACAGAAUGAAGCUCUCUGCCUAGAGCAUCUUGACAUGCCUGCCUGCCUGCCUGCCUCUGGCCGAGCCCAGCAAAAGCAGUAACUCCUGGGCUGGAUUCAAGGCAUCACAUCUGUCAAAUAAAAAGAUGGCCCUAGGUCGUGGCUCUGGCACCUCGCGGCUGAGACUUUCAGUGAUCCUAGUGGACACAAGCUAUGUUUCAGCAACGGCAUUAGAUCCAGAAUCAGCUCCGUUUCCGUUUGUAGGCAAUCAUCCCUGAGAGUGAGUCCCUGCGUCUGAGUAAAUCCAUUGUCUCUCACACUCCCAAGUAAUCUUCAUUCUUAUGUCAGUCCCGCUAGUAUGUCCCCCUCCUCUUUAUUCCCAUAUUCAAGGUGUCUUUUGCCUCCAAAGCAAACUAAACAUCUCUUUUUGCUUACCUGUUCUGAUCCCCAGCUGUUCCUGACCUAGAAACCUCUCACUGUUUAACCUCAUUGUUUUUCUACCUGCCUAGACAUCUGGGCCUUCCUUUGCUUGUUUCAACCCCUGAGGCAGAAGGUUGCUUCUGGAGGCUUCCAAAAGGCAUUUUGUUUACUUAUUAACAAGUGCAGAUGUUCCUUGAUGUAUGAUGGAGUUAUAUCCCAAUACACCCAUGUAUACUGAAAAUAUCAUAAAAUGAAAAUGCAUUCAAUACCCUGAAUUUUACCCCAUAUCUUUAAAAUAAAAAUAAUAAUUUUUAAAAAGAAAAUGCAUUUAAUACCCUAAUCUACAGAACAUUGUUGCUUAGCCUACCUUAAAUGUGCUCAGAACACAUUAGCUUACAGCUGGACAAAUCACUUAACACAAAGCCUGUUUUACAAUAAAGUUAUAGAAUUUUGAAUUAAAACUUAAAGUACAGUUUC